rnacentral:rRNA from 1 species
CCCUAUAAUGCGCCACCACUGACACGGAACAACGGCAAACACGCCGCCGGGUCAGCGGGGUUCUCCUGAGAACUCCGGCAGAGAAAGCAAAAAUAAAUGCUUGACUCUGUAGCGGGAAGGCGUAUUAUGCACACCCCGCGCCGCUGAGAAAAAGCAAAGCGGCACUGCUCUUUAACAAUUUAUCAGACAAUCUGUGUGGGCACUCGAAGAUACGGAUUCUUAACGUCGCAAGACGAAAAAUGAAUACCAAGUCUCAAGAGUGAACACGUAAUUCAUUACGAAGUUUAAUUCUUUGAGCAUCAAACUUUUAAAUUGAAGAGUUUGAUCAUGGCUCAGAUUGAACGCUGGCGGCAGGCCUAACACAUGCAAGUCGAACGGUAACAGGAAGCAGCUUGCUUUUUCGCUGACGAGUGGCGGACGGGUGAGUAAUGUCUGGGAAACUGCCUGAUGGAGGGGGAUAACUACUGGAAACGGUAGCUAAUACCGCAUAACGUCGCAAGACCAAAGAGGGGGACCUUCGGGCCUCUUGCCAUCAGAUGUGCCCAGAUGGGAUUAGCUAGUAGGUGGGGU